CUAACCAAAUCCUUAACAGACCUACCAGACAAGGGAUGAAAAUGAGCAGCCCACUCUAACACAAAACCUUUAAUUGGAUCAGAAAUUUGGUAGAAUCGGUGUAUUUUGAAGAAGUAUAUAAUACUCUUUGUUGAAAUCGAGAUAUGGCUGAGACUGGACAAAAGCCUGGACGAGGACAGCUUUAUCUCGCUACACAUAGGAAUGAAAAUGGAUCAUAUGUUAAUGAGGCGGCCAAAGAGAUAUGUGAAAAAUUAAACUAGCAUUGAGCCAAAGCACCGUGGAUGAGUCUGAAAUUUCGCCAAAUAAUGUCGUUGGUAAGGUGCUGGGAAAAGAGCACUCUGGAAGGGUAAAGUGCUUGGGAUUAAGAGUUGUUCCUGGCAGAGCUUUUAGACAAACAAGACCUUGUUAUAGUGAUUUGAAUGCUUCAAGUUAUAAUAACGGUUCAUGUUCUUCCCAAUGCCAAGAGAAGUACAAUCAAAUGUUGAAUGCUCGCAAUCAAAGCCAAGAGAACUACAGAAAAAUGAUGAAUGUUAACACCUAAAUGAUGAAUGCUUUUAAGGCAUAUAUGAUAAUGAAAGAAGGGAGGAUACCUGAAGAAUUUGCAGGGAUCUUUGUUUCUCCUCCUCAUUCAAC